CUGUGUCCUCGGCUUGUUCUCAUGGUGGGAAGGCAAACAUAUAAAGGUUGGACAGCACGGAGUGAUGUGCCGGAGGCAGCUGUGGCCUGGCCCUGAGGGGACUGGGAACCACCCCGCAGCCGUGAGCAGGGGCAGGCAGCUGGGAUUCGGGCAGGGGCAGCGAGUGCUCGCACACGAUCAAAUGAAGAUGUUAAAGGAGAGCAGACCUGGCACAGAUCUAACCACUAACCACUAACAACAAUACAAGUACCUUGCACUUAAAUUAUGCACUUUCCAUCAAAAGAUUUCAAGGGCCUUUGCUGAACUGGAUAAGUAUAAUUAUUAAAGCUGGGAACUCCGCUACACUGGGGAAUUUAAUAUUUGAGGUCUGCCUGAGGGCAUAUGUCUUGUUGACUGUUGUGUAGCCACAGACCUUGACAGCCCUCCCUUGGCUGUCCCCGUGGCGUUGUGCUUGUCACCCUGCUCUGGUCCCACGGACACCGAGGGCCCUGGCUAAGGAUGCUCUGGCUGGAAACCCCAGUGUCAGAAGAAGCAAAGCAGUGACAUGGCAUCAGGAUCAAAAAUGCCUUCUGGCCUGCUUCCAGCAAACGCCUCAUGCUGAAAUUGUGCUGAAGGAGGAAACACCCACGAGAUGCUUCCGUGGUUAUCUGCACCUCGCUGUGGGGAAACUGAGGAACAGAGCUGGUGGUUGGUGCGGGGAGGAACCCCCUGGGCAGGGCUCUGUGACAGGACCUUGGGGCCACUCACCUGGGCUUGGGCACAUCCAGGUCUGUUCAAAUCUCACCCUUCCUCCCCUGGCCCCUGGCUUCUCCCGUGGGACAGCCUUCUGUCCCCCAGGUAUGCUCAGACCUUCCUUUGGCUUCAUCUUACUAGCAUCAUUCAACCACGUGGCAUCUCGGUCUGAGUGCAAAAAGGGUUUGUAGGACACAGUUACCAAGCUCUUUACAAGGCAAUGCCCCCUUUUUUUUUCCCCUGUUUUCCAACAUUUAACAACUAAAUGUUCUCAUCUUGUUAGUGUUACCUUGAUGAUGAAUAAUGCAUACUGUUCUUGCUUUGUGUGAUACUGCUUUCUUAAAUCUCUGUUGCAUUAUGUGUGUAUGCAUACAAGCAUACCAUAAAAUUUUCCGCUGCGACCUCCUCCGGCUAAAAAAAGCACGCGAGCUGCCGCUGCGAGGAAUGAUGCAUCAGGAGCUGGGUUUGUGCCCCAAAAAGGGUUUUUACUGAGCUCACUGCCUGGGCUUCCCCACCUAUGUAUUGCUCAAGGCAACAGACACCAUCCUCGGACUGAAGGAGCUGAGCGUGCGGUCGCUGAAAGCAAACCCCUGUGGAUACAGCUCGAGUGUGAUGGGAGCGCAGCAGCAUGGAGCCCUCAGCACAGACACCUUGCUCAGGGCUGGAAAAAAAACACAAACUGCUCUCGGAAGAGCCUUGUGUGGCUUUUCCUUGCUUGGACAGCAGUUGUGCUUUCCUGGUAAUGCCACAGUCUCCUAUGUGGUGCUGCAGGCUCCUGCCUUGCAGGAGAAAUUCUGUUAUUCAAGGGCUGUGCGGCAUCAGUCCUCCCAGUGUUUUUCUCUCCUGAUAAGGCAGCUCAUAGCCUUGAUUUUCACAGCAAUAUUUCAGAGCUGCUAAGCGGGAAUCCAGCCGCUGCUUGUAGCGCAGGGAGGAUGAACCUCGGCACCGUUUAAGGAGGACAUUGGUGGGCAGCAAGUGGAGAAGAGGAGACCGUGAAAUUCUGCCUGGAAAUUGGUGCCGUCUUACUAGCACUGGAGCAGUGAGCGCCCAGAGUGCCUCCUCUUAAGCGGAGUGGGAUUUGGAAACCAAGUUUCUCCUGUGAUAAAUCAUCGUUCAUCCAUGAAAGGAAUGGGCUGACACUGCUGGGAGCCAAAACUGGAGCCCUAGCUGGGUCAGAUUUGCUUCAGGUAGCUUCCAGUGGCAGUGAGUUCCUUGUCCAGACACUGCUAAUUAACAAGUUAGCAGCUAAUUAGCAAAGUAUUUCAAUUUUUUCCUUUCUAAAUGAGUUGCCUUACUCUGCCAUGGUGAGGAGCUGGGACCCCUCUGCACUUCCUCUGAAGCCCCUUGUUUCUCCACCUCUGCUCAAGCUGAAUUUUCAGUCCAUGCUGGCAGUGGCACCCGUCAUUUUGCGAUGAAUCAAGGAAUUCCUGAGUCCCCCCAGUUUUCCACCCAGAUGCGCCUUGCACUGAUCUCCAGCUCAAUCCAUUUUCUCCGCAUUUGCAGCGUCCGUCCACAUCUCUGCAGAACGAGCACCGCUCCGGGACGCAUGCUGCGAUGGAGAUGGAAGAUAGCACACACUCCCGCACAUCAAAGUCAGGAUUUUUUUCCCUUUCUUGCUGUUCUCUGCACAAUUUAUUAUCAGAGAGUUGUGCCAAGCUCCUGUGUGUGGCCUCUGUUGGUGUACGUGUGUUCACCCACCGCUGCACGCAGCCGUGAACGCGCAGCAGCAGCGAGCCGAGAGCAUUGCUGCUGCUGGAUUUGAUUCAUUCAACCCAGGGAAGUCAUCCGGGCUGCAAAUUGUUCCCUUCUCAGUGCUAAAUCUGCUCGGCCAGGAUAUCACAUCUGGAAAAAGCCCAUUUCUUGGCCUCAGAGAGGAGGGGAAGAAGCAGAAAUGUGGGGGCUUGGAGGAGCAAGGUGGGGAGAGCAACAGGAUUUGGCUGCAGCCGUUUGUUGGGCUGGAAGUGGGCAAAUGCAACUCUCUGUGAAUCUCCCAGAUUCUCAGUGCCAUGAAUUUCAUUUUGUCCUCUUCAAUUAUUAACCCUGCAAUAAACCUGCCCCCCUUCCCCAUG